UACGUAGGGUGCGAGCGUUAAUCGGAAUUACUGGGCGUAAAGCGUGCGCAGGCGGUGAUGUAAGACCGAUGUGAAAUCCCCGGGCUUAACCUGGGAACUGCAUUGGUGACUGCAUUGCUGGAGUAUGGCAGAGGGGGGGUGGAAUUCCACGUGUAGCAGUGAAAUGCGUAGAGAUGUGGAGGAACACCGAUGGCGAAGGCAGCCCCCUGGGUCAAGACUGACGCUCAUGCACGAAAGCGUGGGGAGCAAACAGG
rnacentral:rRNA from 1 species